CAGGUUUGUCUUUUAAUCAGCAUCCAUGAAAAUUCAUUAAAAGGUCUGAUACGAAAAGCACCAGGCUAACAAAUCAGUCCUGAAUUCAAUUUUACAAAAACACCCUCUCCUCUUCCAUCUCAUCCCUAAUAUUCCUACGUUAUCUCGAGGUGCAGAGAAAUAUAAAAGGGAUCCUUGACAUAAAAACGUAUUAAAAAGCCACCAUGAGUAGAAUGUACGGUAACAGCGUCUGACUCGGCCGGCAGGACAGGAAACCUACAGAACCACCAUGCCAGGGCUUUGUGUGAGCAGGCGGGCACUCCACAUGGGCACGUGUGUGAGCAGGCAGGCACUCCACAUGGGCACGUGUGAGCAGGCGGGCACUCCACAUGGGCACGUGUGUGAGCAGGCGGGCACUCCACAUCGGCACAUGUGAGCAGGUGGGCACUCCACAUGGGCACAUGAGCAGGUGGGCACUCCACAUGGACACGUGUGUGAGCAGGCGGGCACUCCACAUGGGCACGUGUGAGCAGGCGGGCACUCCACAUGGGCAUGUGUGAGCAGGCGGGCACUCCGCAUCGACAUGUGUGAGCAGGCGGGCACUCCACAUGGGCACAUGAGCAGGCGGGCACUCCACAUGGGCACGUGUGAGCAGGCGGGCACUCCACAUUGGCACAAAGCGAGGGCUCAUGCAUAAGAGGUGCAGGGACACCUGGACAGCUAUUUGAAAUUUAAAAACUGGGUUUCCUGGCUCACAUUUUGUAUCAAAAACUAGAAGUAGAUCAAUGAUUUCAAUAUGAAAAUGAAACCCAUAAAAGUACUAGAAGAAAACAUGGAAAACAUUUCAAAUAUAAUCUUUAAGGGGGAAGAGCAUUCUAAGUAGAACACAAAACUUAGAAGCCAAGAAAGAUUGAUAAUUCAACUACAUAACUCAUGAAAGGAAGAUCUGAGGAACGAGAUGCCCACAGUGGCCGCUGAGAAGCUCUGCCACACUCCUGGAGGCAUGGAAGGCUGUGCCCACACAGGCACAGAGCUGUGUGUGUGCCCGAGAGGAACCUGAGCUGCCCUGGCCCUCACCUCUGGCUGGCUUUGUGGCUGUGUGCAAGUAAGAAGUGAAGGCAAAGGCACAGUUGGCAGCUGCCUGCUGGAGCACUGACCACAUAUCAACUGCGUGUCAGCAGAACCGCGAUGGAGCGCUGAAGGCACACUCACCAUGCAUCAACUGCGUGUCGGCAGAACCGUGAGAGUUACUGGUGCAAAGCACUUAAAGGGGUCCUCUGUCCAGUCACUGGCUGAACAUGAAGCUGAUGAGGUGGACACUUCAAAUUAGUCCAGAACACACACUAAACAAAAGGUAACAGCAACAGAACAACAAUAAACUCGUGGAGAGGGUAUCUGAUUUCCAGAGUUGCACAGCACAUUAUUAAAGUGUCCAGUCUUCAAAAAAUACAUAUAUAUGAGACCACAAAGAAAGAGUAUGUUAUUUCCUUGGCUCUGACAUGGGAAAA
rnacentral:lncRNA from 10 species